rnacentral:ncRNA from 1 species
CAGAUAUACCACGCAUCGAUUAGCUAUCGGUGGCUCAACGUAGUAUACUGGUCAAAUAAAUAACAGCUGCCUUUUGAGCGGGUUUGCUGCAAUCCGAAACGGAAUUUAUCCGCUGGACUGUGGCGCCUUUGUUAUGCCCAAAAGCAGCUGGAAC